AGUGAACGCUGGCGGUAGGCCUAACACAUGCAAGUCGAACGGCAGCACAGGAGAGCUUGCUCUCUGGGUGGCGAGUGGCGGACGGGUGAGGAAUGCAUCGGAAUCUACUUUUUCGUGGGGGAUAACGUAGGGAAACUUACGCUAAUACCGCAUACGACCUACGGGUGAAAGCAGGGGACCUUCGGGCCUUGCGCGAUUGAAUGAGCCGAUGUCGGAUUAGCUAGUUGGCGGGGUAAAGGCCCACCAAGGCGACGAUCCGUAGCUGGUCUGAGAGGAUGAUCAGCCACACUGGAACUGAGACACGGUCCAGACUCCUACGGGAGGCAGCAGUGGGGAAUAUUGGACAAUGGGCGCAAGCCUGAUCCAGCCAUACCGCGUGGGUGAAGAAGGCCUUCGGGUUGUAAAGCCCUUUUGUUGGGAAAGAAAUCCAGCUGGCUAAUACCCGGUUGGGAUGACGGUACCUAAAGAAUAAGCACCGGCUAACUUCGUGCCAGCAGCCGCUGUAA
rnacentral:rRNA from 1 species